GUGGGGAAUAUUGCACAAUGGGGGAAACCCUGAUGCAGCGACGCCGCGUGAACGAUGAAGCCCUUCGGGGUGUAAAGUUCUUUCGACAGGAACGAUAAUGACGGUACCUGGAGAAGAAGCUGCGGCUAACUACGUGCCAGCAGCCGCGGUAAUACGUAGGCAGCGAGCGUUGUUCGGAGUUACUGGGCGUAAAGAGUGCGUAGGCGGCGAGCCAAGUUUGGUGUGAAAUCUCCCGGCUUAACCGGGAGGGUGCGCCGAAAACUGGUUGGCUGGAGUAUGGGAGAGGAAAGCGGAAUCCCUGGUGUAGCGGUGAAAUGCGUAGAUAUCAGGAGGAACACCUGCGGUGUAGACAGCUUUCUGGACCAAAACUGACGCUGAGGCACGAAAGCGUGGGUAGCAAACA
rnacentral:rRNA from 1 species